AUGACCAGUGGUAUAAACGGCACUGGUGACAGUUACUAAGGCACGUCAAGCUACGCUCACGCGUACUUUUACACAUCAAAAACGAAAGCCGAUGCAGGUCACCUCCCGCCGCACAUCUUAUAAAGAGCGUGACGCCAGACGCCAUGUAGCCAUGUUUAUUUACCAAUUCAAACGGCUUGAGCUUGGCCUGGCUUAGCGGCUUAGCCAGUGGCUUAGCCACUUAUGACUUGCUUUCCCGCAACUACAGUGUACCCGCAACUUUUCAGUCGGCGGCUUGGUGUGCGUGCUCUCGGAACAAGUGCGAACUGGGAGGGACACAUCAGUGUGACGACUCGAGAAGGAAAUAUGGCUUUGACAGCUGUUGGUAGUAUUAUCAGUUCGCGUGACGAUGCGAAGCACUUUGCGAAAUGCGAGCAAGUUUGGCUACUUCGGCAACAAGCUCAGAAAAAAUGAGGGCAGGUUGCAGCCGAUGCUAUCUUGGCUUGCCCUGUGCAGUGGAGCUGUGGGUCACCGCUUAUUGCACGUCACUCUAAUGUGGUCCGACAUCACUAAAACUUUCGUUACGCUUCCUACAGAGUGACAUUGGUGUCAGUCGUGCUAGCGAUGGGUCUAGGUCGUGAGAAUGAGCAUUUAGGCACAUUUUGGAAGAGAAUUAAAAUAUAU
rnacentral:lncRNA from 1 species